AGGGAAAGAUCAAAAGCACUUUGAAAAGAGGGUGAAAAGAACCUGAAACCGUUACGACAGAAGCGUAUUGCGUUGAAUUGAGGGCUGUUUAACUCUUCAGCUGAACGUGAGUUUAGUGUACUGAGUUAAGUAGUUAUCCGUCGUGCCUUUUCUGUGGCUGAUAUUGAGCCGCGGGAGAGGGAGGGAUCCCCUUUAUGGGUGAGGACGAUGGAGUGGCAACGCGAUGCGACCCGUCUUGAAACACGGACCAAGGAGUCUAACAUGUUUGCGAGUUGAAGGGUAGUAAACCUGGAGGCGCAGUGAAAGCGAACUUCUAAAACGGACAGUUUGUGGCGGCAUAAAAUCGUUGAUUUUAGGUCUGACUAAGAGCAAAUAUGUUAGGACCCGAAAGAUGGUGAACUAUGCUUGAGUAGGCCGAAGGCAGAAGAAAUUCUGCUGGAGGGCCGAAGCGGUGCUGACGUGCAAAUCGCUCGUCGAACUCGAGUAUAGGGGCGAAAGACUAAUCGAACCAUCUAGUAGCUGGUUCCCUCCGAAGUUUCUCUCAGGAUAGCGGGCCGACAAUUAUUGUUUUGUGCGGUAAAGCGAAUGAUUAGCGCACUCGGGGGCAUUCAGUCUUCGGUCGAUUCUCAAACUUUUAAUGCGCAAGGGGGCUGCAGCUUAGGUGUGCGGCUCCUCUAAAAAUGUCGGCCUUGUGGGCCACUUUUGGUAAGC
rnacentral:rRNA from 1 species